rnacentral:rRNA from 2 species
UUGUAGCCUGCUAUGGUAUAACUUAGUGGCAGACGGGUGAGUAAUGUAUAGGAAUCUACCUAGUAGUACGGAAUAAUUGUUGGAAACGGCAACUAAUACCGUAUACGCCCUACGGGGGAAAAAUUUAUUGCUAUUAGAUGAGCCUAUAUUAGAUUAGCUAGUUGGUGGAGUAAUAGCCUACCAAGGCAAUGAUCUAUAGCUGAUCUGAGAGGAUGAUCAGCCACACUGGAACUGAGAUACGGUCCAGACUCCUACGGGAGGCAGCAGUGGGGAAUAUUGGACAAUGGGCGAAAGCCUGAUCCAGCCAUGCCGCAUGAGUGAAGAAGGCCUUUGGGUUGUAAAGCUCUUUUAGUGAGGAAGAUAAUGACGGUACUCACAGAAGAAGUCCUGGCUAACUCCGUGCCAGCAGCCGCGGUAAUACGGAGAGGGCUAGCGUUAUUCGGAAUUAUUGGGCGUAAAGGGCGCGUAGGCUGGUUAAUAAGUUAAAAGUGAAAUCCCGAGGCUUAACCUUGGAAUUGCUUUUAAAACUAUUAAUCUAGAGAUUGAAAGAGGAUAGAGGAAUUCCUGAUGUAGAGGUAAAAUUCGUAAAUAUUAGGAGGAACACCAGUGGCGAAGGCGUCUAUCUGGUUCAAAUCUGACGCUGAAGCGCGAAGGCGUGGGGAGCAAACAGGAUUAGAUACCCUGGUAGUCCACGCUGUAAACGAUGAAUGUUAAAUAUGGGAAGUUUACUUUCUGUAUUACAGCUAACGCGUUAAACAUUCCGCCUGGGGACUACGGUCGCAAGAUUAAAACUCAAAGGAAUUGACGGGGACCCGCACAAGCGGUGGAGCAUGUGGUUUAAUUCGAUGCAACGCGAAAAACCUUACCACUUCUUGACAUGAAAAUCAUACCUAUUC